GGCCGGUUAGCUCAGUCAGUAGAGCGUAGCGCUAACAACGCUAAGGUCGCAGGUUCGAUUCAUGUUUGGUCCC
rfam:Apaloderma vittatum contig93835, whole genome shotgun sequence.